rnacentral:tRNA from 1 species
GUGCGUGUGGUCGAGCGGUUAACGCGUUCGACUGCCAAACGAUCGACGCGGGUUCGAUCCCCGCCCCGUUCU